CUGUGAUUUGUUGAGUCAACUCACUGACAUUACAAAAAAUACAUUAUAUUGUAUUAGCUACAUCAGUUAGCAUAAUUUUAAUGAACAUUCUACAUCACCAUGGCAAUCCAGCAUCAGUUGACAGACCAUUCCAAAUUACCAUGGAAAUAAUUGCAUCACAAUACCAGACAGCCAUUGAGAGUGUACUCAUGAGUUUACCAGUCAAAUGAAUGCAGUAAAGAGGUCAAUGGAACACAGACAGUGGGGGAUAGAAUAAGGAUGCAGGAUUGGCGCACAUUCAACAAAUCUGAUAUAACAAAGUAGAUAUUCAUCAAAUCCGUCAUGAUUGAUGUAUUGUAAGUCGCUCUGGAUAAGAGCGUCUGCUAAAUGACUUAAAUGUAAUGUAAAUGUAAAUGUAAUGUAACAGGCCCACAAUAUGGUUACUAAAGUCCAAUUUGGAUAUAUUUGGCUGUUUUUCCUGCAUAACAUUUAGAAGUUGUUCCUUUUCCAGUUUAGAAGAAGUGACUCCUAAAUGCUAACUCCCGUUUGUGUAAGCUGGUAGCAUAGCUAGCAUACAGAAAUUGGUGGUGGCAGUCAAAGUCGUUUUUUAACUGCAAUGCUGUUGAUUGGUGACGAUGUCAAGAAAAUGCUUUGGGGUUGGCAUCUAUAGAAACAUUAUAUUCAGAUUUUUACCUCAACCUAGUGUGAAAUACACAUAUAAACAAUAGCCUAAAUGCAGGAAAAUUUUGCUAGGGGCCAAUGAGGAGAUUUGGGAUCUUUCCCCAACAGCAUAUUUCCCCCGUGUUUCCAUGGCAUUUCCAUUGUUUGGGUCAAGUUCCAUUGACCUCUUUACUGCAUCUUUUGCCAGGGUUAGAGCUUCCAUGCCCUCUCUAUUCAUUAUAUUUCUAUGGUGCUGCCUGCCUACCACAGCUUGAAGUUCCAGUGAGAUGGGUUAUUAUGAUGUAAGAGGUAGAGGAACAGACGACCUAUGAAAUGAUCUCUGUCUGCAUGCAUUAACAUUGUCAUAUUUUUCAAAGAAACGCACAGGCAAGCCAAGCUCCACCAAAGAAAAUAUUUGCAAGGCCGAAGACCUUAGGGACGUUGUUCUAAAGGUAAUACAAUCAGGCGACCUCUAACCCAAAAGACACCUGGUCUGUAUGUAACUGUAGAAGUUUGAAAUGAAUGAUGUCCUGUAGAUAUUGUCUCCUACUGCUGAUACUGGUGCACUCAAUCUAUCAGCCAACAACAAUAAAGCAAUGGACUGAUUUCAGUUAUAAAAGAUUUCAAUUUUUUGCACCUAGGGUUUACUGAGGGUUACUUAUUAUAAUCAAUCAUAAAGGUAUCUUAAAAUACAGUCGAAAUAAUUGUAACAUGUUAAAAUUGACUAAAAUGACCCGUCAUUAUACAAUAAGGCUUUUUGUCAAAUGACUUUUGCCUAAUUGAUAUAGAAGACAUAAGAACAAAAGAACAAUCAGGUAUAACAGUCUUUUUUUAUUGUCUAUUCCAAGCCAUUAAUGAACAUUCCUCACUGUUUGCACCACUAUAAAAGGCCAAAACUUUUCAUCCAUUAUUUUUUCGUAUAGUUAAGGAAAGGAUAUGUGAAAGUCUAAAUUAGAUCAUUAUUGAAUGCUAUUACAAAAAAACAUUUUUAAUAUUCAUCAGCCUCCCACACAAAGACAAGACUAUUCAUUCCAUUCAACAUUUCCAAUGUCACAUUUUUUGCUCUGUUGUCCAGUUUUGUUUCCGGUUUUCCUAUACUCAUCCCUCAAAUUUCGCUGGCUUUCAUCUCACCACAAAUACUGCAAACACAGGCUGCCCUUCUGCAAUGACAUAUGGGGCACAAAGACUCAGUGGGGCACACUGCAUCCAUGUCUCACAUCUCUUCCUACAUGUAUCUCACUCCCCCUCUCUACACUUGAGUGGUUGUAUUUCCUUUUGGUUAAUCGGAAACUCCUUUGCCACAACAGGCAUUUUUAUAUUUAUCUUCAGAAGCCUGUGUUGGAGGUUUUUUUUCGGAUCAUUAGGGACUUCACAUUUAUAUUAGCUUCAGACCAAGUCUACAGCCUGACUUAUUGCCUCACCGAUUGCCUCAGGAAUCUGGAUGUCGCCAGUCAGGUUCAAGUUCUUUUUUAAUUCGCAGUCACUUUGCACUUCAACGGCAUCCUCUGGCUUGUCAAUGCCGUUGACACAUUCCUUUUGCUGUGGCUCCGGGGCAGACACGGCAGCCGGCUCGGCUGCCUGCUCCUGACACUCCCCAUUGACCUCAGGGGCAGAAGGCUCAGCAGUAGCCUCCACUGCGGAAACAACUUCCUUGUUGUCCAGCACAGCCUCCUCUUGCUCAGCGCUGGCCUCCUCUGCAGCCGCAGGUGCAGCAGAUUCUGAAAUGAUGAUCUCCGGGAUGGGUUCUGCAAUGUCGGCAGCCUCAGGCUCUGCUGCUUCAGUUACUGCAUCAGCAGCUUCAGAUUCAAGCUCUGCUACGGAUUCUUCUAUAGGUAGGGGGAGCUCUUCAGCGGCUGGUUGUGGGAUGGAUUCUGCCUCUGGCUCUGCGGCUGCCUCUGUGGCUGACUCUGACACGGCUUCUGCAACUGAUGCAGGCUCCUCCUCCGGGGCGGAUGAAGCUGCUUCUGCCUCUACUGGUGCCUCGACCACAGCCUCAGGUUCUGGGGCCUUCCCUGUAACAGUCUCUGUUUCAGGCUCUGGAGCAGCAGGCUCUGGUUCUGUAGUGUCUGUAAUCUCUGCUGUCACCUCUGUGGCUUGUUCUGUAGCCUCAGAAGCCUUUUCUGGUACUGCAGCUAGCUCCACAGAGGCUACCUCAGGCUCUUCUGGUGCAGGCUCUUUUGGUGCUGCCUCAGGCUCUUCUGGUGCAGGCUCUUUUGGUGCAGCCGCUGGUUCCUCUAGUGCCGCUGGUUCUUCCGGUGCCUUUGUUUUAUCUGGUGCUGCCGCAGGUUCCUCUGGUGAUGCUGCUGGUUCCUCAGCUGCUGCAGGUUCUUCCGGUGCUGCCACGGGCUCUUCUGGAGCUGCAAGCUCUUCUGGAGCUGCGGCUGGUUCCUCUGCUACUGCUGCAGGUUCUUCCGGUGCUGCCACUGGCUCUUCUGAGGCUGAAGGUUCUUCUGGUGCUGCAGCUGGCGCUGGGUCCUCUGGUGCUGCAGCUGGUUCUCCUGAAGCCACUGGUUCUUCUGCUGCUGGCGCAGGUUCUUCCGGUGCCACCGCUGGCUUUUCUGGGGCUGCAGGUUCUUCUGGUGCUGCAGCUGACGCUGGGUCCUCUGGUGCUGCAGCUGGUUCUUCUGAAGCCACUGGUUCCUUUGCUGCUGGCGCUGGUUCUCCAGGUGCUGCCACGGGUUCAUCUGGUACAGCCGCUGGCUCUGCGGUGGCCCCCUUGGCCACUGCCUCUAUAGCUGACAGGGCCUCUUCUGUCGCUUCUGUGAUGGCUACCGCUGCCGACUCCACUGCUCCCUCCACUUCAGCAGACACCUUAGGAGCAGUCUUCGCUGCCAACUCAGCGACCGGAGCUGGUGCUUUGCUCUCCACGGCAUGGGCCACGGCCUCAACGGCACUCACAGCAGCCACAGUAAUCUCCUCCUUCUUGUCCUUUGGGUCGCUGACAUCGUACCCCUUCUUCCUCUUGCUCAGCUUGCCUCCCAUGGUGUCUCCUAAAAAUGAAUAAUAAAAUCAGAAUUACUUAACAAGUGUGAUAGGUUGUUGCGUUUGAAAAUAUAUGCAUAGCAUACAUCCGUUUCCUUUAACUACAAACCACAAACCUCAAUACCAAGUUAAAGCUGAAGAAAAUGCAAGGCAUUGCAAUCCU
rnacentral:lncRNA from 1 species